rfam:Triticum aestivum genome assembly, contig: Triticum_aestivum_CS42_TGACv1_scaffold_458307_5DS
UACGUACUCCCUCUGUCCGAAAAAGUUUGUCCCAAACUUAUUUAUCAAAUGGAUGUAUCUAGUACUAACUUGAUGCUAGAUACAUCCAUUUGAGAGACAAGCUUUUUCGAACGGAGGUAGUACUAA